GUGCAACUAGGUUUAAUUAGCCUUAAUCUUCAUUUUAGUCAACCUACAAUUAAAUUCAAGAAUAGGCUCCACAUAAAUGUGAGAAAAAGAUGCCAAACAUCUACACUAUGUUUGGGAAUUUUAAUUGGAUUCAGAAGUCUAGUAUUUAGUUCAUAGGAGAAGAAACAAAUAAAAGGAGGGAUCAAAUACAUAUUUGGUUUAAUUGUCAGAUACAGUUGAUAGCUGAUAGUUGAUAGGUUUACCAAAUAGGUUGGUUCAACUGUUUGGAUGCCUAUCAACUAUCAAUUG
rnacentral:misc_RNA from 1 species